UAAUUAAUCCAACCAAUUAAACCGGAUAAUUUAAAAACAAACCCUAACCGAUUUUCCGGUUCACGGGCGUUACAAUACCGCGGGUCAUAUCCUAGUUUUAUAUUAACAUAUCAACCGACCU
rnacentral:sRNA from 1 species